UUGCUUCUCUUGAGAGCGGCGGACGGGUGAGUAAUGCCUAGGAAUCUGCCUGGUAGUGGGGGAUAACGUCCGGAAACGGACGCUAAUACCGCAUACGUCCUACGGGAGAAAGCAGGGGACCUUCGGGCCUUGCGCUAUCAGAUGAGCCUAGGUCGGAUUAGCUAGUUGGUGGGGUAAUGGCUCACCAAGGCGACGAUCCGUAACUGGUCUGAGAGGAUGAUCAGUCACACUGGAACUGAGACACGGUCCAGACUCCUACGGGAGGCAGCAGUGGGGAAUAUUGGACAAUGGGCGAAAGCCUGAUCCAGCCAUGCCGCGUGUGUGAAGAAGGUCUUCGGAUUGUAAAGCACUUUAAGUUGGGAGGAAGGGCAGUAAAUUAAUACUUUGCUGUUUUGACGUUACCGACAGAAUAAGCACCGGCUAACUCUGUGCCAGCAGCCGCGGUAAUACAGAGGGUGCAAGCGUUAAUCGGAAUUACUGGGCGUAAAGCGCGCGUAGGUGGUUCGUUAAGUUGGAUGUGAAAUCCCCGGGCUCAACCUGGGAACUGCAUUCAAAACUGACGAGCUAGAGUAUGGUAGAGGGUGGUGGAAUUUCCUGUGUAGCGGUGAAAUGCGUAGAUAUAGGAAGG
rnacentral:rRNA from 1 species